GAGGGAAUAGCUCAAUGGUAGAGUGCAUGCUUAGCAUGCACAAGGUCCUGGGUUCAACCCCCAGUACCUCUA
rfam:Camelus ferus unplaced genomic scaffold scaffold1428, whole genome shotgun sequence.